rnacentral:rRNA from 1 species
GACGAACGCUGGCGGCGUGCCUAACACAUGCAAGUCGAACGGGGUAGAGAGCUUCGGUUUCUACUUAGUGGCGAACGGGUGAGUAACGCGUGAGGAACCUGCCUUUCAGUGGGGGACAACAGUUGGAAACGACUGCUAAUACCGCAUAACAUCCACGGACCGCAUGAUCUGUGGAUCAAAGCUUUAUGUGCUGAGAGAUGGCCUCGCGUCUGAUUAGCUAGUUGGUGGGGUAACGGCUCACCAAGGCGACGAUCAGUAGCCGGUCUGAGAGGAUGAACGGCCACAUUGGGACUGAGACACGGCCCAAACUCCUACGGGAGGCAGCAGUGGGGAAUAUUGCACAAUGGGCGAAAGCCUGAUGCAGCGACGCCGCGUGAGCGAAGAAGUAUUUCGGUAUGUAAAGCUCUAUCAGCAGGGAAGAAAAAAUGACGGUACCUGACUAAGAAGCACCGGCUAAAUACGUG